AGCAGCCGCGGUAAUUCCAGCUCCAAUAGCGUAUAUUAAAGUUGUUGCAGUUAAAAAGCUCGUAGUUGAAUUUCGAGACCGGUUUACUGGUCGUGCUUUUGUACGUUCUGGUAUAAUCGGUUUCUCUUUUCUGACGAACUAUAAUGCCAUUAAUUUGGUGUUAUGGGGAAUCAGGACUGUUACUUUGAAAAAUUAGAGUGUUUAAAGCAGGACUCACGCUUGAAUACAUUAGCAUGGAAUAACGAAAUAGGACGUUUGAUUUUAUUUUGUUGGUUUCUAGGAUCGACGUAAUGAUUAAUAGGGAUAGUUGGGGGCAUUAGUAUUCAAUUGUCAGAGGUGAAAUUCUUGGAUUUAUUGAAGACUAACUACUGCGAAAGCAUUUGCCAAGGAUGUUUUCAUUAAUCAAGAACGAAAGUUAGGGGAUCGAAGACGAUCAGAUACCGUCGUAGU
rnacentral:rRNA from 1 species